rnacentral:rRNA from 1 species
AUUGAACGCUGGCGGCAGGCCUAACACAUGCAAGUCGAGCGGAUGAAGGGAGCUUGCUCCUGGAUUCAGCGGCGGACGGGUGAGUAAUGCCUAGGAAUCUGCCUGGUAGUGGGGGAUAACGUCCGGAAACGGGCGCUAAUACCGCAUACGUCCUGAGGGAGAAAGUGGGGGAUCUUCGGACCUCACGCUAUCAGAUGAGCCUAGGUCGGAUUAGCUAGUUGGUGGGGUAAAGGCCUACCAAGGCGACGAUCCGUAACUGGUCUGAGAGGAUGAUCAGUCACACUGGAACGGAGACACGGUCCAUACUCCUACGGGAGGCAGCAGUGGGGAAUAUUGGACAAUGGGCGAAAGCCUGAUCCAGCCAUGCCGCGUGUGUGAAGAAGGUCUUCGGAUUGUAAAGCACGUUAAGGUGGGAGGAAGGGCAGUAAGUUAAUACCUUGCUGUUUUGACGUUACCAACAGAAUAAGCACCGGCUAACUUCGUG